rnacentral:rRNA from 1 species
GACGAACGCUGGCGGCGUGCUUAACACAUGCAAGUCGAACGGAAAGGCCCUGCUUUUGUGGGGUGCUCGAGUGGCGAACGGGUGAGUAACACGUGAGUAACCUGCCCUUGACUUUGGGAUAACUUCAGGAAACUGGGGCUAAUACCGGAUCGGAGCUCCUGCUGCAUGGUGGGGGUUGGAAAGUUUCGGCGGUUGGGGAUGGACGCGCGGCUUAUCAGCUUGUUGGUGGGGUAGUGGCUUACCAAGGCUGUGACGGGUAGCCGGCCUGAGAGGGUGACCGGCCACAUUGGGACUGAGAUACGGCCCAGACUCCUACGGGAGGCAGCAGUGGGGAAUAUUGCACAAUGGGCGGAAGCCUGAUGCAGCAACGCCGCGUGCGGGAUGACGGCCUUCGGGUUGUAAACCGCUUUCGCCUGUGACGAAGCGUGAGUGACGGUAAUGGGUAAAGAAGCACCGGCUAACUACGUG